rnacentral:misc_RNA from 1 species
GAUGAAGAACGUAGCGAAAUGCGAUAAGUAAUGUGAAUUGCAGAAUUCAGUGAAUCAUCGAAUCUUUGAACGCACAUUGCGCCCCUUGGUAUUCCGAGGGGCAUGCCUGUUCGAGCGUCAUUAUAACCCCUCAAGCUCAGCUUGGUGUUGGGGCCUGCUGCACUGGCAGCCCUUAAAAUCAGUGGCGGCGCCAUCUGGCUCUAAGCGUAGUAAUUCUUCUCGCUAUUGAGUCCUGGUGGAUGCUUGCCAUCAACCCCCAAUUUUUCUAUGGUUGACCUCGGAUCAGGUAGGGAUACCCGCUGAACUUAAGCAUAUCAAUAAGCGGAGGA